rnacentral:rRNA from 1 species
UACAGAGGGGGCAAGCGUUGUUCGGAAUUACUGGGCGUAAAGGGCGCGUAGGCGGCCUUCUAAGUCGAACGUGAAAUCCCCGGGCUCAACCCGGGAACUGCGUCCGAUACUGGAAGGCUUGAAUCCGGGAGAGGGAUGCGGAAUUCCAGGUGUAGCGGUGAAAUGCGUAGAUAUCUGGAGGAACACCGGUGGCGAAGGCGGCAUCCUGGACCGGCAUUGACGCUGAGGUGCGAAAGCCAGGGGAGCGAACGGG